CCUACGCGAGGCUGCAGUGGGGAAUAUUGCACAAUGGGGGAAACCCUGAUGCAGCGACGCCGCGUGAGUGAAGAAGUAUCUCGGUAUGUAAAGCUCUAUCAGCAGGAACGAGACAAGACGGUACCUGACUAAGAAGCCCCGGCUAACUACGUGCCAGCAGCCGCGGUAAUACGUAGGGGGCAAGCGUUAUCCGGAAUCACUGGGUGUAACGGGAGCGUAGACGGGUGUGCAAGGCUGAAGUGAAAGGCGGGGGCACAACCCCUGGACUGCUUUGGGAACUGUACGGCUGGAGUGCAGGAGAGGUAAGUGGAAUGUAUAGUGUAGCGGUGAAAUGCGUAGAGAUUAGAAGGAACACC
rnacentral:rRNA from 1 species